AGGAGAGAUACCUGAGUGUGUCCGUCAGUUUCAUAGAAGUGGACCUUGACCUUGACCACACAUCCUUUUGAGGCGGAAGCCAAACAGAGGGAGGAAUGUGAACGCCUUGGAGCAAAAGGCAUUUUUUCCCUGAUUUCUCCUGAAUGUAACUUUUGCCAUGAGUAGCCUUGAGGUGACUUCAGUAAAGGAACACGUUUCAGCAUUAUUGAGGAAUGGGACUAGAAGUCGACAAACUUACCAGGACCGGUUUUGCCAUCAACAACAACAAAGCCAACAACGUCAAGGACCCGAUGAGCC